rnacentral:rRNA from 1 species
GACGAACGCUGGCGGUGUGCUUAACACAUGCAAGUCGAACGGUAAGGCCCUUUCGGGGGUCCACGAGUGGCGAACGGGUGAGUAACAUGUGAGUAACCUGCCCUCAUCUCUGGGAUAACAGUCGGAAACGGUUGCUAAUACUGGAUAUGAGCUUGCAAGGCAUCUUGUGGGUUGGAAAGAUUUUUUUGGUUGGGGAUGGACUCGCGGCCUAUCAGCUUGUUGGUGAGGUAGUGGCUCACCAAGGCUUCGACGGGUAGCCGGCCUGAGAGGGCGACCGGCCACAUUGGGACUGAGAUAAGGCCCAAACUCCUACGGGAGGCAGCAGUGGGGAAUAGUGCACAAUGGACGGAAGUCUGAUGCAGCAACGCCGCGUGCGGGAUGACGGCCUUCGGGUUGUAAACCGCUUUCAAUUGUGACGAAGCUUUUUGUGACGGUAGCAGUAGAAGAAGCACCGGCUAACUACGUG